rnacentral:rRNA from 1 species
CUAUCGGGAUUUUCUUGGGCGUAAGCGUGCGUAGGCGGCUUUUUAAGUCGGAUGUGAAAUCCCUGAGCUUAACUUAGGAAUUGCAUUCGAUACUGGGAAGCUAGAGUAUGGGAGAGGAUGGUAGAAUUCCAGGUGUAGCGGUGAAAUGCGUAGAGAUCUGGAGGAAUACCGAUGGCGAAGGCAGCCAUCUGGCCUAAUACUGACGCUGAGGUACGAAAGCAUGGGGAGCAAACAGGAUUAGAUACCCUGGUAGUCCAUGCCGUAAACGAUGUCUACUAGCCGCUGGGGCCUUUGAGGCUUUAGUGGCGCAGCUAACGCGAUAAGUAGACCGCCUGGGGAGUACGGUCGCAAGACUAAAACUCAAAUGAAUUGACGGGGGCCCGCACAAGCGGUGGAGCAUGUGGUUUAAUUCGAUGCAACGCGAAGAACCUUACCUGGUCUUGACAUAGUAAGAACUUUCCAGAGAUGGAUUGGUGCCUUCGGGAACUUACAUACAGGUGCUGCAUGGCUGUCGUCAGCUCGUGUCGUGAGAUGUUGGGUUAAGUCCCGCAACGAGCGCAACCCUUUUCCUUAUUUGCCAGCGGGGUUAAGCCGGGAACUUUAAGGAUACUGCCAGUGACAAACUGGAGGAAGGCGGGGACGACGUCAAAGUCAUCAUGGCCCUUACGACCAGGGGCUACACACGUGCUACAAUGGUCGGUACAAAGGGUUGCUACCUAGCGAUAGGGAUGCUAAUCUCAAAAAGCCGAUCGUAGUCCGGGAUUGGGAGUCUGCACUUCGACUCCAAUGGAAGUCGGAAAUCGCCUAGUAAUCGCGGAUCAA